CUCACAGUUCUUGAGUGUUGCUGAAAGAGCUUUCCCUGGACAUUUCUGUCCUAGGGAACUUCUUAAGGCAUCUGCUAGAAGGAGUCGCAAACUUCACGGAGCUCAUGAAGUGUUUCUGAUCCUACUGGUAUUAAUAAGCAGAUGUCACUGCCACAGUUCAGAUCAUCAGGGACAUUCAACUGGUGCCAAAUGGAUUGAUUUUGUUGAAAGUCUGUCGCAAGGCAGUCUUCUUUUCUCUCUCCGAGGAGG